rnacentral:rRNA from 1 species
GAACGCGAAGAACCUUACCCGGGCUUGAACUAAGAGUGACAGAUUUAGAGAUAGAUUUUUCUUCGGACACUCUUGGAGGUGCUGCAUGGUUGUCGUCAGCUCGUGCCGUGAGGUGUCGGCUUAAGUGCCAUAACGAGCGCAACCCUUUUCCUUGGUUGCCAUCAGGUAAUGCUGGGCACUCCAGGGAUACUGCCAUCGUAAGAUGUGAGGAAGGUGGGGAUGACGUCAAAUCAGCACGGCCCUUACGUCCGGGGCUACACACGUGUUACAAUGGGGGGUACAGAAGGUCGCUACCUGGUGACAGGAUGCUAAUCUCCAAAACCUCUCUCAGUUCGGAUUGGAGUCUGCAACCCGACUCCAUGAAGCUGGAUUCGCUAGUAAUCGCGCAUCAGCCAUGGCGCGGUGAAUACGUUCCCGGGUCUUGUACACACC